rnacentral:rRNA from 1 species
GACGAACGCUGGCGGCGUGCCUAAUACAUGCAAGUUGAGCGCUGAAGGUUGGUACUUGUACCAACUGGAUGAGCAGCGAACGGGUGAGUAACGCGUGGGGAAUCUGCCUUUGAGCGGGGGACAACAUUUGGAAACGAAUGCUAAUACCGCAUAAAAACUUUAAACACAAGUUUUAAGUUUGAAAGAUGCAAUUGCAUCGCUCAAAGAUGAUCCCGCGUUGUAUUAGCUAGUUGGUGAGGUAAAGGCUCACCAAGGCGAUGAUACAUAGCCGACCUGAGAGGGGGAUCGGCCACAUUGGGACUGAGACACGGCCCAAACUCCUACGGGAGGCAGCAGUAGGGAAGCUUCGGCAAUGGACGAAAGUCUGACCGAGCAACGCCGCGUGAGUGAAGAAGGUUUUCGGAUCGUAAAACUCGGUUGGUAGAGAAGAACGUUGGUGAGAGUGGAAAGCUCAUCAAGUGACGGUAACUACACAGAAAGGGACGGCUAACUACGUG